UUUAAAUCCCCGGCGCUCCUCCGUCAAGGUGACGCGCAGUCGCCCCCCCAGGCAACCCAGGCGGCAGCUGCAGCUGCGGCGGCGGCGGAGGCUGAUUCGGGGCUCUGAGGCCUAGGGGGAACAGACUGCCUUCUGCGCGCGCUCGACUCCGCUCGCCCCCGCCUCCGGGAGGUGGGGGCUGGGAAGCGACCCUCCCCAGUUCCUUUCCGAACCGGCCCAGAAAGGUGAACUGGCAAGAGGUCUGUUUUGCCUGAACCCAUCAACAGCUGGGAGAUUAAUCAACCACACUGAAAAUGAUGGUGGGUUGGGGGAAGGGUUGGAAUGUAGAUGUUUGAAACAAAUGUGUAUAAAUAAAUGAAUUUUUGAUAACUUGGUUAAUGACCUGGAGACUGGGAGCUUGUUAAAGAAACUCCACAUAACUCUGUCCUGUAGCUGCUUUAUUUCUCCACUUUCAAAAGCUUGGGCUGGGCCCAACUCAGGCGGACCAAUCCUGUUUCUAUUACUGUGACUUGAGUCUCUACACUGAAAACCAAAUCCAUUCCUUUUAUUAAAAAAAACAAAAACAAAAAAAAACCACUUGUCAGAAGCACUAGCCAUUUUCUGGCUUCUUUCUUUGUUGCUGUCUACUGUAGACUCUGAACAUGCCACCCUAAUAAAAUAUUAAAAUUGAAAAGG